AGAGUUUGAUCCUGGCUCAGGACUAACGCUGGCGGCGUGCCUAACACAUGCAAGUCAAGGAGAACGUUCCCUUCGGGGAACUAUUAAACUGGCGGACGGGUGAGUAAUGCAUAGGUAACCUGCCCUGGAGACUGGGAUAACUUCGCGAAAGCGAUGCUAAUACCGGAUAAUGCAGCGGACCCUAAGGGGUACAGUUGUUAAAGCGGGCUUCGGCUCGUACUUCAAGAUGGGCCUAUGUCCGAUUAGCUUGUUGGUGAGGUAAAAGCUUACCAAGGCUAUGAUCGGUAGCUGGUCUGAGAGGAUGAUCAGCCACACUGGGAUUGAGAUACGGCCCAGACUCCUACGGGAGGCAGCAGUGGGGAAUCUUGCGCAAUGGGGGAAACCCUGACGCAGCAACGCCGCGUGACCGAUGAAGCUUUUCGGAGUGUAAAGGUCUGUCGUGAGGGAAGAAUGGCUUCUAUUCAAAUAGUUUAGAGGCAUGACGGUACCUCACAAGAAAGCACCGGCUAACUUCGUGCCAGCAGCCGCGGUAAUACGAGGGGUGCUAGCGUUGUCCGGAAUCACUGGGCGUAAAGGGUACGUAGGCGUCCUGAUAAGCAUUGAUUGAAAUCCUUCGGCUUAACCGGAGAACUGGUCAGUGAACUGUCAGGAUAGAGUUUGGUAGAGGAAAGCGGAAUUCCCGGUGUAGCGGUGAAAUGCGUAGAUAUCGGGAGGAACAUCGACGGCGAAGGCAGCUUUCUGGGCCAAUACUGACGCUGAGGUACGAAAGCGUGGGUAGCGAACAGGAUUAGAUACCCUGGUAGUCCACGCUGUAAACGAUGAGCACUUGGUGGUGGGAGAUUCGACCCUUUCACUGUCGUAGCUAACGCGUUAAGUGCUCCGCCUGGGGACUACGACCGCAAGGUUGAAACUCAAAGGAAUUGACGGGGGCCCGCACAAGCGGCGGAGCAUGUUGCUUAAUUCGAGGCAACGCGAAGAACCUUACCUGGGUUUGACAUGUAGGGAAAAGCCAUAGAGAUAUGG
rnacentral:rRNA from 1 species